rnacentral:lncRNA from 1 species
CGAGCCACUGCGCAGUCUUAAACCUGAAUUUGCAGCAGAAACCCCUGUCCCUGGAUCAUUUGUAUGUGUGAAUACAACAGCCUCUGAUCUCCGAACGCCUGGUGCUUCUGAACGCCGCUUCUGCCCCCACCGUACUAUACCAGGGGUUGUGGCUAGACCCAUACUAUUAUAGAUACUUGGCGGUAGCUGUGGGAGAUCCUAAGUUAUCACAAGUCGGAGGUGUGACUGUUGUCAUGUAAACUACAUUCUGUGCUAAAGAUAAUAAGCAUUGGAGGAAGCAGCAAACAAUGCUAGGUAGAUAGCAGCAGUCAGGAAGGACCAUAGGGCGAGCGACAAGGCUGUGUUCGACGUUCAACUUUGGGAGAGCAGCUGUAGUGAUACCCUUACAAAAACCCAUUUUCCCCAUACUCGCCUUUCCUGCCCUUCCCUGGCUCUGUUAUUGGGCCAUAAUGGGAUGCUAUUGCUCUGCAAAAUCUAGUGCCGUACAGGAAAUAAAAGGGAAAUUUUAGAAAAGAGGAAAAUAGGUGAAAAGACACGAAAUGCAUAAACCUUUGAUUGAUACUGCAGUUAGGUAGUUAGGUAAUUGGCUUGGGCAAGGUGGUAGAUGCGAAGUCCACCAAGCCGAUGAACAGUCUGGACUGGACCCAUACACCUUCGGAGUUUUUUUUUCAUGUUUUCUUUUUUACAUAUGCAAUAACACCUUUUUGUAUUGUAGUUUCAACCAUUCAUGUUUUAUGCUGUAUUUUCCCAUAUAAGUAUUUUAAUGCAAUAAACUUCAUCUAUAAA